AAGGUGUUCCCACCUCUCCCACCAAAGGUCUUCCCACCAAAGGUCUUCCCACCAAAGCCUUUUCCUCCACCACUUCCAGUCUACAAGAAGCCACUCCCACCUCCAGUUCCAAUCUACAAGCCAGAGCCAAAACCACCAGUCUUCAAGCCUCCUCCGGUCCCAAUCUACAAGAAGCCACUCCCACCUCCAGUUCCAAUCUACAAGCCAGAGCCAAAACCACCAGUCUUCAAGCCUCCUCCGGUCCCAAUCUACAAGCCAAAACCACCAGUCUUCAAGCCUCCUCCGAUCCCAAUCUACAAGAAGCCACUCCCACCUCCAGUUCCAAUCUACAAGCCAGAGCCAAAACCACCAGUCUUCAAGCCUCCUCCGGUCCCAAUCUACAAGAAGCCACUCCCACCUCCAGUUCCAAUCUACAAGCCAGAGCCAAAACCACCAGUUUUCAAGCCUCCUCCGGUCCCAAUCUACAAGCCAAAACCACCAGUCUUCAAGCCUCCUCCGGUCCCAAUCUAUAAGAAGCCACUCCCACCUCCAGUUCCAAUCUACAAGCCAGAGCCAAAACCACCAGUUUUCAAGCCUCCUCCGGUCCCAAUCUACAAGCCAAAACCACCAGUCUUCAAACCCCCUCCUGUUCCAGUCUACAAACCAAAGCCAAAACCACCAAUCUACAAGCCUCUCCCACCUCCUGUUCCCAUCUCCAAGCCUCUCCCUCCAAUCCCAAAGAUCCCUCCAUUUUAUAAGAAGCCAUUGCCCC
rnacentral:lncRNA from 1 species